GACGAACGCUGGCGGCGUGCUUAACACAUGCAAGUCGAACGGAAAGGCCCUGCUUUUGUGGGGUGCUCGAGUGGCGAACGGGUGAGUAACACGUGAGUAACCUGCCCUUGACUUUGGGAUAACUUCAGGAAACUGGGGCUAAUACCGGAUAGGAGCUCCUGCUGCAUGGUGGGGGUUGGAAAGUUUCGGCGGUUGGGGAUGGACUCGCGGCUUAUCAGCUUGUUGGUGGGGUAGUGGCUUACCAAGGCUUUGACGGGUAGCCGGCCUGAGAGGGUGACCGGCGACAAUGGGACUAAGAUACGGCCCAGACGCCUACGGGAGGCAGCAGUGGGGAAUAUUGCACAAUGAGCGGGAGCCUGAUGCAGCAGCGCCGCGUGCGGGAUGACGGCCUUCGGGUUGUAAACCGCUUUCGCCUGUGACGAAGCGUGAGUGACGGUAAUGGGUGAAGAAGCACCGGCUAACUACGUG
rnacentral:rRNA from 1 species